UGCAGCCUCCAACUCCCGGGCUCAAGGGAUCCUCUUGCCUCAGCCUUCUGAGUAGCUGGGACUGCAGGCAUGCCCCAUGGCACCCGGCUCCUUAUUCUUUAUGAGUUUCUGAGUCAGAGGUUGACCUCUGGAAGGAUCUCUGGAUAAUUCCUGACAUGAAUCGCAGGGCCAGCUUGGAGAAGGAGCAACGUAGUGAGGAAGAUACAAAAGGAGGAAGAGCAGAGGGGCGCUGUGAGCCCCUGCUCACAGAAACGUUUCAAAGGUGACACCUGCUGGUGUUGCUGGUGCUUGAAACAGAACCUGGUUCCCACGCCCUCUUCCUUCUCGUGGGGCUGGACCGCCAGAGGGACGCGCUUCUGCAGAACACCUGCAUCGUGAACAGGUGGCAAGUGGAAGAGCCCCAGACUCCUUGAGGACUUAGCUGAGGGCACCGGGGCCCGUAGGCAAACAGCCUUAUGUGGGAACAUCUUGAAGAUGGACAGACAGACACAUCUCUGUAGCCGCAGGCUGAGGUCUACUCAGUAUGAGGCCUCCGAUCACUCCCUUUGCUAAGAACUAACAUCUACUGAGACCUGCCAUGUGCUGGAACAGUGCACGAACUUUCAUAUAUAUUUCAUUUCAUUUAAUGUAUUUUUAUUCCCAUUUUACAGAUGGGAACGUAUUUUUAUUCCCAUUUUACAGAUGAAGAUCUGAGACAGCUGUCUAAGGCCACACGAUCAUGAGAUGUCGUUCGUGUGACUAUCCUCUCAAUAUCAAAUCCCCGUGGAGACUCACUGCUGUUUGAGUCUCACUGUGUGUCGUAGCUCUAGGUGACUACAGUGUCAUUUGCAGACCCGGAUAUAAAGCAGGGAGUCCUUGGGGGGGUUGUAUCGGUUUGCGUUUGCUACAGUAAGACCGCAUAACAAUCGCAGAAUCUCAACGGCAUACAACAGUGAGCACUGAUUUCAUUCAUGAGUGCCGCUGGGGGCUGGCCGAUCCGGGCUGGGCUCAGCCGGAGGUGGCUGUGAGCCAGGUGUCUCUCAUCCUCCUGGCUCCUCCCCACUGGAGCCAGGUGUCUCUCAUCCCCACUGGACUCGGUGAGCUGCUGGAACGUUCUCACGAUGGUGGCAGAGGCACCAUCCACACAAGUCACACGGGCAAUCCAAAGUCAAGGGCGGGGAAAUAUGAGCCACCAUGGAAAUGACUUCGCCAUGUGACCUCAAAGGUCACACGCAAAGGUGUGGAUCCAGGGAAAGUGGAGAUGGUUGUGGCCAUUCUCUCUCCCUCUGCCCUUGAACCUGGCGGCAUCUAGGGACACAAGGAAGCCCAGGAAAAUCUCAGGUUCUCCCCAGGGGAUGGGAUUUGCUGACUCCCACCUCCUCGUCGUGAGGGUGUUGCUUUGACUAAACACACUUUGCUGGGUUGUGAAAAAAAUAUCAGCUAUAUUUUUUCUUUACUUCAUUGUCUCUGAUGAUAAUACUAAGGGUAAUAUAAUUCACAGUUGUCUGGGUCUUAAAAGAUUGCAAGGCAUUUAUUAUCUUACAGCUCCUCACGUCAAUCCCGAGAAGCGUGCAGAGACGGGAGAGAGCCCGUGAUGCUGUAUAAUUAAUCACAGCAGCAGCGACAACAGCAGCUGGAACUUCUUCAGCGCGUGCUCUGUCCCAGGCACUGAACAACACAGCUGACUCAUUUAGCACAGUAAACCACUGGGACUCUGGAAUCCGAAUCUGCUUUGGGAUCUCAGAGGGUCAGAUUGGCAGGUCUGCUUCCCAGCUGUGUGGCCUUGGGCAACAUACUCAACCUCUCUGUGUUAACUUCCUAAAGCUGUUGCAACAAAUUACCAAAAACCCGGGUGGGUUAAAACAACAGAAAUUGAUUCUCUCCCGGUUUUGAAAGCCGUGCUAUUGAAACCAGGAGGGGGUUUCGGCCUAAGUCCAGUGGCUUGUUGCACAAAGAUCCAAUUAUCGAGACAACAGAGGAUUACCAAGGAAGAAAGGAAUUUUUUAAUACAAAAGACAUCUUGUCGGGAGAAGCUGCCUCCAACCUCUGACUGAAGGAGACCAAGGGCGUGUAAAGGAGGGGCCGUGUGCUUUGAGGGAGGACGUCUGCUCUGUCCAGGCCCUUCAGAGUCAGCUCCUUUGUCUUGUAGAAAAUCCACCAUUUCUGGGAAACAACCCAAAAGGUCAAGUCGUUACCUAACGGAGAGGAUUAUAAAAAAAAAAACCAAAAAAAACAUAUGAGGGUCAUCGAAAUUUGUUCUUGGAGCUGGUUACAGCUAGAAGUCCUCUCUUAGUAAGGACACCUGUCACUCUGGAGUAAGUGCCCACGCUACUUUAGUAUUAACCCACCAAAGUUAACUAAUUUUGUCUGAAAUGACCCUAUUUCAAACGAAGUCACAUUCUGAGGUUUGUGAAUUGUGGGGCAGAGGGACAGUAACCAACCCAGUAUAUUCCUUAAGGCUUUUUCUUUUCCGUCUAUAAAAGCCAGCAUUAGUCGGUUCUAUAUUAGAGGAUUGUUGUGAGGAUUGGGUAAGGUAUAGCCGGAAAGCUCUCGGCCCAGAGCCUGGUACAUGUGUGAACUAAAAUAAAAUAUUCAGCCCCCCAGCUGGCUGAAAUUACCCCCUCUUGGCCAAGGGGACCUCAGAAAGAACCCUAAGGCUGAGUUGCUGGCCAAGAGAAGGGAGGUCACACAGGCCUCUGCCAUGCCCCCCUCUAUUUUUGGAGAUACCUCUGUAACAAAGAGAUGCUAAGUCAUUAACAGGCCUAAGGCUAUACAAACAAAACAAACCACACCUGCAGGCCAUCAAUUUACUCAACAGAUCACCUGAGUUUCAGUGAAUGUCCAGAGGCUUGUCUCUGAUAAACAGACAUCCUUAAGUUAAAAUAUCCCAAGCAUUUAGACAAAGCUUCAUUUCUUUAACCAAUUACAAAUCAAAGAAUCUUUAAACCCACUUAUAACCGCCCCCCUCCACCUUUAAGAUAUCCUGCCCUUUUGGGCCAAUCCGAUGUACACCCUCCAUGUAAUGACUUAGGAUUUUACAUGUAAUUCCUGUCUCCAUGAAUUUAUAAAGCCAAACUGUAACCCAGCAAGCACAUUUUCUCAGGACCUCUUGAGCCCAUGCUUUCUGGGCUGGUCACACACAUUUGGCUCAGAAUAAACCUCUUUAAAUUAUU